AAAUAAAAAUUAAAGAAAUUACAACCUCUUAUCAAGGGGUACCCACUACAACAAAAACGGUCUAUAGCGACACUUUUAAAUGUAGGUACAUGUCAAAAAAGUGCUGCUAGCUAAAAUUACCGACACUUUUAAAAAGUGUUGCUAUAUGUGGGGUCGCUAGGUAUAUAGUGACAGUUAAAGAGUGUCGCUAUAACCUAACAGAGUGUUGCUAAUUUUUAAAUACUUAUUUAAGCAUUUAGCAACUGCUGAAACUCUAUCUCGUUGGCUACGGUGGCGGAGGAGGACGACAGUAAAGGCUCUUCGUCUAGAAUUUCAGUGGAUUGAGUGAAGAGAGAAGAAAAGAUGAUAAUUGAUUUUUCUUUUUUUUUUUCUUUUCUGUUUGUAAUCGGGCCAAAUGGACUGGGUGUGGUGGGUUGAGUAAAGUAAUCUUUUAUUUUUGGUUGGAUUGGGCUUUAUAUUUAGGCAUUAGUAGAUGUGUUUUUAAGUUUUAGCAUAAAUGGGACACUUACUCAAAAGUGUCCCAAACAUGUGUCCCUAUAACCUAAUUCUGUUGUAGGUAUUGAUGGUUUACUGACGCUGGCCUCUUUUUAGUUUUUUUUUUUUUUUUGGGAGAUAGACAGCAUGUUACUCUUUUCGUUUAUUUCAUUUAGAAAUAAACUUAACUAGAAAUGUGAAUCAAUUAGGAUUCGAACUAGCGCCUUUUUCUAAUUUUUUUGUAACAAAAAGAAAAUUAUAAAAAGAUUAGAGCAGCAAAGAAAAUAAGCCGAUGGAUUCAAGUUAUUGUAGAAGUACAACUCCAAGUGAGUUAUAGACCUAGCACUCCUCUAAAAUUAUUUGUUCAAUUAAACACCCAACUAAAACAUAUAUAUACGACUGCUGAAAUAAACAAUUUGCGCCAAAUAUAUAUACUCUAAAUAUUAAGAACAAUAUAUAUAUUUCUUAUAACCUUUUCUCUUAUAACAAACAGUAUAGUUUUAUUAUCCUUUAAAUACUUAAAAAAAAUUAUAAUUCGACCUCGUAUGUAAACUGAGUAUAGCCGCAUAACGAUCUCUAUAUACAAAAGAAAAAAGUUGGAGAAUGUAGAGAGCUCGGUGAAUGUUUUUUUCAUUAAUAAGCUUAAAAAAUAUUAUAAUAAUAAAAGUAGUCAUUCGAAAAUUUUAUUUACAAAACUAGUCUUAUGCGCUGAAUAAUUUAUCAUUUUUUUGUAAUUAAAAAAUAGAUUAAUUUCAUACAUGUCCCUAUAAAUAUAGUGAAUAGUAAAUAUAUCUCUACAAAAUUCAAUUUUCAUAUAUUGUAAAAUUCUGAUAUUUUCAAAUAUGUUUUUGUCAUUAGCAUCAGUUAGAAAAAAUUAGUUAACCAUAGGUUAAAUGCUUAACUCUAAUUAGUUUUUGACUUUUUCAGACCUUUAUAUUACACUAGAAUGGUUUUUGGAGGGAUAUAUUUGUGAUGGCAAAAUUGAAAAUAUAAACGGUUCUCUAACGGUAACAAACCAGAGAGACAUAUUUAAAAAUAUUAGGACUUUUGUAGGAACAACAUAUAAAAGUUGAAUUUUAUAAAAAUACAUUUGUCAUUCACUAUGUUUGCAGAAAUAUGUAUAAAACUAACUCUUAAAAAAUUCUAUAGAGUUAGUCGUGCAAAAAUCUCGACCACGGUCCAUGCAAUAAUUUCUCUUCUCACUCUCAAGCUAAGUGAUAAACUCAACUCAACUCAACUCAACUGUGUUUGGAGCUUUUGCUCUUGCGCGACUACAGUGUUGGCACCAGGUUACUUUAAGCAGAAGGUGUCAGAGUGGGGACCACCAGAUGAGGGGCUAAGAGAGAAGGCCAAAUUGCAUGGAGGCCCCCUCUACUAUGGCCAUAUUCGGAAUUGGCCCUUUAGCUGUACUUAUUUCCCACUAAUACUUUUCUAAUCUUUUUAGAUUUUCUCAAUUAGAUAAAAAUGUAACUUCUUUUAUCGGCUAAAGUAAAAAAAUUUUAUUAAAUAUUGUUUAUUCCAUCAUCAAUCAAGUUUGCAUAAUAACUUUAAAGAUUAAGUUAAAAAAUAAUAAAAUAAAAUUAACUCAAGAAAGCAUCAAUUAAUUAGAAAAGAUUAAGUUGAAGGGUCUAUUUUGAAAGUAGCAUGUAGUUGAGAGGGUCCCCAUACAUCUUUUUUGGGGUUGGGCCAAUUUAAAUGUGACUGCACCAUCUUUCUUUUUUGGGCCAAAAACAAUCACACGCUACAAAGAACUUGCCACCUAUAGAGAGAGAGAGAGAGAGAGAGAGAGAGAGAGAGAGUGAGUGUGCCCACCCACCCUUCCCCACAAAUUACAGUAUGUAGUUGUCAGUGUACUGCAGUGCAGCAAAUACCAAAACAUAUAAUUAUUUAACUUUUCACAUAUUAGUCCACAUAAUAUAAAGGUUUUUUUUUGUUACAUAUUCUUCUCCGCAGAGAGUUAGAUUCUUAUACUUUCGAAAGUACGAAGGUCUCCGUACUUAUAAGUUGUUUUCGAUGAUAGGAUAUUCGAUUUGGCGAUCGAUUCUAUUAGACAUGAUCUAUACUAUUGUACUAUUAAGAAACCAAAUUUCAUAAUUUUUUUACUUCGUUUGCUUAGCGAACGAGUAACCUCAAAAUAAACGGCUGAAAAUAAAAAAUUAAUAAAAAAUAGUGAUAAAGAAUUCAAAUUUUAAAUCGGAAGUAUUGUUCGUACUCUUGAUGUUAAGUAGAAUUUUCUAUUAAAUUUUCAUGUAAUUUGGAUACUUCUACACCGUUGAACUUAAAAACGUGUAACAUCGGCCGUCAAAAUAAUUAUUUUUAGACACUUGGUAAAUGAUGACGAAAAAUUAUGAAAUUUAGUUUCUAGAUAGUUUCAACAACGUAGGUUAUACUUAUCAGAGCCAAUCGACGAAUCGAAUGUUCGAUCAUCAAAAACAACUUAUAAGUACGUAGACCUCCGUACUUUCGAUAAUACGGAAGACGUACUCCUCCACAAAUUAUAGUAUGUAAUUGUUGGCGUACUACAGUGCAACAAAUACACAAAAAUACAAUUCUUUGACCCGUAUAUUACCACACAUAAUAUAAAAGCUAUUUAUUGGUUUUUAUAUGCUUACACGUUUGGAUAUUUUUCGAAAAGCUAAUUAUAGAUUCUUCUCUCCAUCGGAAUUAUAUUAUGUAGUUAUCAGCGUGCUGUAGUGCAAUAAAUAGCAAAACAAAAUAAAUAACUUUUUUGUUUAUCAGCCUACAUAAAAUAUAUAUUCUUUUUAGUUCAUAUAUCAUUCGACUCCACAAAUUACAUUAUGUAGUUAUCAGCGUAAUACAUUGCAAUUAAUACCCAGAUAUAUAAUUCUUUGACUUUUUCUUAUGUCACCACAGAUAAUAUAAAAGCUUUUUUUUAUUAGAUCAUAUAUCUUUCUUCACAAAUUACAAUUUGUACGCAGUUAUCAACGUACUGUAAUGCAAUAAGUACCCAAAAAAAUAAUUUUUUGACUUUUUCAUAUAUUAGCCCACAUAAUAUAAAAGUUUUUUUCAUUGGUUUCACAUAUUCUUCUCCACAAAUUAUAGUAAUAUAAUAUAAUUAUUAGCGUCUGCAGUGCAAUAAAUACCCAAGAAAUUAGGAUAUUAAAACUUUGUUGCAGUUGUUGUAUUGUUGUUUGUUGUUGUUUCUUUUGAUUUCUUAUUGAUCAUAGAAACAUGUUUUGGCCUUUUAGUUGAGCACAUUAAAUAGAAAUAGUAACAACAUUGAUAAUGUCAAUAUUACUGGUUAGUAUCCAUAUAAUAGACUUAAUAAUUAUAGCUUUAUCAAUCUAUCAAUAUCGCUUGCGCGCCCAAAUACAAAAUGGGUCAUUAGUUAUUCACCAAAGUUAAUCACCUUUGAAGAUGUAAAAAAAAAAAAGGUUAUGAAUUAAAAUAGCAUGCACCUUGAAUUAUAUAUGAGAACUACAAGCAAGCACGGAAUACGUGCUUUAUUACAAGUUCAUUAAAUUGACAAGUGCUCUAAUCAUCUAAAAAGCAACAUCACUUGCUCGAUCGACCACGUAAAACACUUAAGCAUCAUAUUAAACAUAUACAACAUCAUUAGACCGGCAAAAAGGAUCGAGGACACAAAGAGAAAAGGUGACAAAACUAGAUAGAGGGAUUUUCUUAACAUCUUAUAUUAAUGUAGUCGAAUCGGCCUAUUUCACAGCUUUCAUAUUGUAGCAAAAAUGCCGAUGAAACUCUCCACCUAUGCAGCAUUUGAGCUUCAAAAAACUUGGCUCCCUUGGAACUGUUAGGGGCUUCUUUGACCUGUCAUGAUAUGCAGAUUCAAAAGGUAAGUUCUUGAAUAGAUUCAAAUUGAAAACUCUUUUGAAUGGAGAUCAAAUUCGAAGAGCAAAUUCAUGGUUUUCAAUCUUAGCUUGUUUAUGUGCUAGUGAUAAGUUGAAUUGUUUCAUGAUCAUAUAUGUAUUACCUUUGUGGAAAGAAUGGCCUAUCAAAUAUGGGCAUUAAUUGGGCCUUUGGAACCAUCUCCUUCCUCAUAAUCUUAAUCUCUUCUUCCUCUAUAACCUACAUAGUAUGAUCAAUACAACAAUAUUACUAAAGGUGGUGAUAUCAAUAGCUUCAACAUUACUAAUAACAGAUACAUAUAAUGAAUCUAGUCACUAUGCAUUGACUAAAAAUGACCAGAUUCAUUAAAUGUGAUAUAUACAUAUAUAGUAGAUGAAACAGCUUUUCACAAGCGUAACGCACCUUAAGAAUCCUCUCUUCGAACCUUCGAAGGAUCUCCAAGGAAUUUGUCUUGCUUGCAACCUACAUAUGCCUCAUGCUUUAGUAGUGAAAUAUAUCAUAAAUGCAUGCAUCUAGAAGAGAAUUAGAUUUUGGGAAGUUUUGAAUAUCAACAAAGGACAAGUAAAACCUUACCAAAUCAUUAAAACCGGCGCGUCUGGCUGCUCUUUGCUCGGUGUGAAGCCUAAAGUUGAGAGGCUUAGUUUGCUCCUUCAACAGCGGUUUUGAUAGAAACUACAAAUGAAAUGUCAUCAAACAAUAAGAUAAUUAGAAAGGCAAGUUCAUAUGCAUGCGCAAAGUUAUAAUGACUCGGAGUAAUAGGAGAUCACUUGAGAUUUUUCGAUCAUCAUUGGCAAAACUUGUGCUAGAGGAACCCGAUGCUUUGUGUCCUCACCAAGCAAUUCACACACCCUUCUCGCAAACACUUGCUCUGUCUUGUGCCCUCGUUUCUAAGGUAACAAAAGAUAAUAGCACAUAACAGCUCGGCCUAUUAGUAGUAGUAACUUAUAAUAGAUAGAGACUGAUCAGUAACGAAAUGUUUGGCGAACUAAAAAUUCUAAAGAUUUUGCUCCUGCUCAAAAGUUGGAAAAAGUAUAUAUGGGUCUACGUAGAAGCUUCAAUCUAGAACUUUUUGUGAUUGCUACAGCUCAAAUGUGUGUGACAUCGAACAAUUCUUAGCAUAAGUAGCAAUCAGGCCAGCUAGGUAGGCUUUUAGUACGUAAUAGCAAGACUUUGUUUUAAUUAUGUAUAGUCACUCACUUUUCGAUCAUCUUCUGAUGUAGAACUAUUUGAGUGUGACGUUAAAAAAUUCAGUGCUUAAAUUUAAUUCCACAACGCAAAGUAAAGUGCAAUUGAUCCAUGUAUAUAUGAGAAUGUCUCAAGUCAUAAUCACCACAGUGAUAAAACUAAUAAAUGAAGAACAGCACACUGACAUGUCUCUUUCAGUUAGUAAUUUAGAAAAAUGUGAUUGGCCUAAUAGUAUACUCAAUCUAGAGCAUGACUUAACAAAAAUUACUCUUCACUAAUGGUGAACUUUUUGUGACAAGUAUAUUAGUUACCUCAUUGUGCAUUUUUACUGGCGGAGAUUGGCCAUUCUUCGACGAACGAUUCGCCACGGAGUUGGGGUUUACUUUCGAGAUCUUGGAUUUGUCAAAGUGGAGUAAUAUAUUAGAUUAAAAUUUUGAUUAGAACACAUUCAUGCAUGCACACACUAACUAUAACAAAAAGGGAGGAAAAAAAAAGAAAGAAAACUAGUACUGUAUAUUAAUGUGCAAUGAUAUGCAGCAGCAGCUGCAAACCAUGCAAGAAGCAUGCACUCCUAACCUUUGAAGAAGAGAACUUAUUUGUAGCUUCCAUAUUUUGUUGCUUAUGGAUAAAGCCCUAGCUACUAUAGUUGGAGCAUUUAUGGACACCCAAAUGGAGCACUGUUAAGAGAAGGAGCUUUCACUUUUUGCUGCCACUUCACCAGCCAUUUUUGGGGUUGCUUCAAAGUGCCUGGACCUGGGUCCACCAGGUCGGCCAUGAAUCGCUAAGUAAUUUUAGUAUCCAUCUCAUCUCUCAUUUCAAUUCUCGUAUUCGAAAAAAAAUUGAAAAAUUUUAAAUUCCACCUAGUGGUGUCAAAAGAAAAAGGAAAAAUGGUUGCACGAUUAACUAAUAUGUUUUCUUGCCCUUCACUCUUUGCAAUCCUUAAUGUUUAAAAUAAUAAUAAUUUUAUGUCUCGUUCGGUGUUAUGUUUUAUUUUUAUAUGUAUUUUUUCAAAUAAAAUUCUUACAUAAAAAGAUAUAGAGGUGGACAGUAGAUUAACAAAUAUAUGUUCUUAUAUAUAUAAAUGGACUCAAAGUGUAUGUUACAAAUCGAAAAAACAGCAAAACCAGUUUUGAAGUUGGAUAAUCCGAAGAAAAAUAGUAAAUCUGAAUCCAAAAUAAUUUAUAACUCCAAAUCUGAAUCCAAAUCCCAAUUGGAUAGUAAAAUCUUCACCCAUAUCCAAUAAUUUUCGAAUUCGGAGUUAGGUUGGAACCGAUAAUAUCCGAUCCAUCUUCACUCCAACAAUUAAAGAGAAAAAUAUUUUCUUCCGCAUAUCAAAUUAUAUAGAAUUAGUAUUUAGAAAAUUUUGUGGUUAAAAUUUAGCCACUAGUCUUAUCGACAUUAUUAUUAUUAUUAUUAUUUUCAUUUCUAAAAAAGAAAUACUACUAGUACAAUCUAAAAUAAGAUCGAUAUACAUCAUACAUCCUCUUCAUCUAAGACCAUCAUUUUUUUUUUACUUAUCCAAUCAAAUUUUUUUUAAUUAAAAGCUAUAUGAAUUUUUCUGAACUCUUGGAUAGAGGGUGUAUAAUCUACACCUCUUUUGGGGUGUACAAAUAGGAUUUUCCUGGGAUAUCGAAGGUGUUGAGGAUCGACGCUGCAUGGUCCAUGGGCAACAUUGUAGGCCAGGUCUAGGCAACAGUUUCUCCCCUUCAUGGCACUCCAUUCAUAUACAGAGUUUUUUUUUUUUUUUUAAUUUAUUUUGGUCCACUAAUUAGUGUACCAACCUUUCUGAUGCAAUUAACCCAUCAAGCAGACAUUCCCAACAAACCACAAAACAACAUUGCAGCAACCACGCACGCAUAUAAGGAGUCGCUGACCAAAUUUGGUAUCUAUCAUUUGGUAGUUAGCUUUUAUUAGGGCUCUAAUUAAUCCCUCCCCCAGGCCCUAUGUAUGUAUCUUGCUUCAAAUUAAGCAAUCUCUUGACCUUGACAAUUCCAACUACCUUAACAUUGCCAACACAACAAAAUCAAUUGAUCUGGUGAUGAUCAUCGAUUCUAAAUUUUGCUUAAUUUAUUAAUAUAAUGCCCAAAUAGUCCCACAUCGGAUGAAAAAAUAAUUCUGAUUAGAAUAUAUGAGGCCUACACGUUAGUAAUAAUAACUGGACUUAAGUAUUUUAGGUCGGUAGUUUCGCUUAACGAGUUAUUGUUACAACUAAGCUUAAAUGAGUGAAAAUUUUGCCCAUGAGUAUGAUCUUAUUGUGGAGGCUCCUCUACUUGUUUGAUUUUUGAUAGAGAUCCUAUUCAUGGGCAAAUUAUUAGGUGUUUCUAAAAAUAUUGUUUAAUUAAGUAUAGCUAUUUUAAAAAAAAUAACAAUACCAUUUUGAGCAAAUAUUUGAAGCAAAAGAAAUUAAAAGCUCAAAUUGAAGUUUAUGUUUGCGAAGCCUAGCCAAAAGCCCAUUGUAGUUUAAUAACAUGACAAAAGCUCUAUUUAUUUUGUUUGUGAAGCUUUCGACUACUGGUUUUUUAUGUAGAGCAAGUUAUUACAGACAUAGAUAAAUAAACACCAAGGCAAAAGCAAACUUAUAUCUCAAAUUUUAGUUUGUAUAGUAAAAUCUCAUUUUAAGUUUAAUAAGAUAACAAAAA
rnacentral:lncRNA from 1 species